GAUGAAGAACGCAGCGAAAUGCGAUACGUAAUGUGAAUUGCAGAAUUCAGUGAAUCAUCGAAUCUUUGAACGCAUAUUGCGCUCUCUGGUAUUCCGGAGAGCAUGCUUGUUUGAGUAUCAGUAAACACCUCAACUUCCAUAUCUUUUUUUGAAAUGGGAGUUGGACUUGAGUGAUCCCAACGCUUUUCCUCACCGAAAAGUGGCGGGUUACUUGAAAUGCAGGUGCAGCUGGACUUUUCUCUGAGCUAUAAGCAUAUCUAUUUAGUCUGCCUAAAAAACAGAUUAUUACCUUUGCUGCAGCUAACAUAAAGGAGAUUAGUUCUUGUGCUGACUGAUGCAGGAUUCACAAAGACAGGCUUCGGCCGACUUUGUAAACUCGAUCUCAAAUCAAGUAAGACUACCCGCUGAACUUAAGCAUAUCAAUAAGCGGAGGA
rnacentral:misc_RNA from 1 species